GACAUCAGUGAUGGAUCGUUUGCGAAUCUCUACAAUUUAAAAGAAUUAUCUCUUUCCUACAAUCAAAUUACCGACAUCAAAGAUGGAUCGUUUGCAAAUCUCUACAGUUUAGAAAGAUUAAAUCUUGCCGGGAAUCAAAUUACAGACAUCAGUGAUGGAGCGUUUGCAAAUCUCUACAAUUUGACAACAUUAUAUCUUUACGGCAAUCAAAUUCAAGACAUCAGUGAUGUAUCGUUUGCAAAUCUCUACAGUUUAGAAAAAUUAAAACUUAACCGGAAUCGAAUUACGGAGAUCAAAGUUGGAUGGUUUGCAAAUCUCUACAAUUUAAAAGAAUU
rnacentral:lncRNA from 1 species